UGGGGAAUAUUGGACAAUGGGCGCAAGCCUGAUCCAGCCAUGCCGCGUGAGUGAUGAAGGCCUUAGGGUUGUAAAGCUCUUUUGUCCGGGAAGAUAAUGACUGUACCGGAAGAAUAAGCCCCGGCUAACUUCGUGCCAGCAGCCGCGGUAAUACGAAGGGGGCUAGCGUUGCUCGGAAUCACUGGGCGUAAAGGGCGCGUAGGCGGACUCUUAAGUCGGGGGUGAAAGCCCAGGGCUCAACCCUGGAAUUGCCUUCGAUACUGAGAGUCUUGAGUUCGGAAGAGGUUGGUGGAACUGAGAGUGUAGAGGUGAAAUUCGUAGAUAUUCGCAAGAACACCAGUGGCGAAGGCGGCCAACUGGUCCGAUACUGACGAUGAGGAGCGAAAGCGUGGGGAGCAAACAGG
rnacentral:rRNA from 1 species